GGAUUGUAAACUCCUGUCGUUAGGGACGAUAAUGACGGUACCUAACAAGAAAGCACCGGCUAACUACGUGCCAGCAGCCGCGGUAAAACGUAGGGUGCAAGCGUUGUCCGGAAUUACUGGGUGUAAAGGGAGCGCAGGCGGGAAGACAAGUUGGAAGUGAAAACCAUGGGCUCAACCCAUGAAUUGCUUUCAAAACUGUUUUUCUUGAGUAGUGCAGAGGUAGAUGGAAUUCCCGGUGUAGCGGUGGAAUGCGUAGAUAUCGGGAGGAACACCAGUGGCGAAGGCGGUCUACUGGGCACCAACUGACGCUGAGGCUCGAAAGCAUGGGUAGCAAACAGGAUUAGAUACCCUGGUAGUCCAUGCCGUAAACGAUGAUUACUAGGUGUUGGGGGAUUGACCCCCUCAGUGCCGCAGUUAACACAAUAAGUAAUCCACCUGGGGAGUA
rnacentral:rRNA from 1 species